AUUGAACGCUGGCGGCAUGCUUUACACAUGCAAGUCGAACGGCAGCGCGGGCUUCGGCCUGGCGGCGAGUGGCGAACGGGUGAGUAAUGCAUCGGAACGUGCCCAGCAGUGGGGGAUAGCCCAGCGAAAGCCGGAUUAAUACUGCAUACGACCUGAGGGUGAAAGCGGGGGACCGAAAGGCCUCGCGCUAUUGGAGCGGCCGAUGUCGGAUUAGCGAGUUGGUGGGUAAAGGCUUACCAAGGCGACGAUCCGUAGCUGGUCUGAGAGGACGACCAGCCACACUGGGACUGAGACACGGCCCAGACUCCUACGGGAGGCAGCAGUGGGGAAUUUUGGACAGUGGGGGCAACCCUGAUCCAGCCAUGCCGCGUGCGGGAAGAAGGCCUUCGGGUUGUAAACCGCUUUUGUUCGGGAAGAAAUCCUCUGGGCUAAUACCCCGGGGGGAUGACGGUACCGGAAGAAUAAGCACCGGCUAACUACGUG
rnacentral:rRNA from 1 species